GUAGCUCCCUACUCUCCUACUCUGGCAAUCAAGAAAUGCCCUUUUUAUAAACAUAUUCAUUUACUGUCUUGGCAGCUGAGAAAGGUUGAUAUGCACAAAGGGAAAGUGGAGGCAUAUCUGAAAAUUUGUAAAACUGUAAGAGUUGGUAGAGUAGAAAUCAUUAAUCCUAAUGUAGUGAACUUCAGAAUACCAGCUAACAGUGACUCUUCCGAGAGGUGUUUGCUGAAUGAAGCUCCCACAGGAGGGGCAGCAGAAGAGACAAAACAAGGAAGCUGAAGAAGCUUCUAAGAACACAGAAGACGUUCAGGCAAGCUGACUCACUUCCCUUCUGAUGUCUGCCACGAGUUAAAUCAGCACAAGACCCUGGCCAAGUGCAGCCACCCAAUCUUGGACUUCUCAGCCUCUAGAACCAUGAUCCAAAUAAACCUCUUGUCUUUAUAAAUUA